GCAUGGUUCAGUUGGUUAGAGCGUGGUGUUGACAACAGAAAGGUUGCGGGUUUGAUCCCCGUAAGAGACA